UUUAUCAGUUAACACAUAGAAAGGGGUGGGGGUGGAGAGCUAGUGAAAUUGGCUUUUUACUCCAGUUACGAAUGCCCACACUGAAAAAUAUAAUAAAGGGUCGUUUCCAAAUACAGUUCGUAAAUGAGAAACAAGAAGUAACGAAAUAAACAUUAUGAAAAUUCGUAUAUAAGAUGAUAAACAAAGAGCAGUUAAAUUACUGAUACACAGUACAAACCUAGUGAAAAGGAACCAGCAUACCAGUUAUUAUUAUUCUUUACAAAUUAUCAAAAUUCCUAAACGAAAUUAGACAAGGGCCAACAAAUUUAGGAGGAUUAAAACACAAAAAUGAAACUAUUUCACACACAUCAUCCGAAUAUAUCUACAGGUGAAAUAAAAAAUAAAUCAACACCGUACAAAAAUGCGAACGAUUAAAAGAGAGCUGAAUUAAAGGAAACCCAUAAAGUAAAACCGGCAAAAAAGAAAAAAAAAAAUUGUGCGUCGAGUCGGCGCGGUGCUGAGCAGCAGACAAUUUAUCCUUACAAAUGAAAUUAAAGAUGAAUUCCCUCAAAAAAAAUUUACACACCCCAUUCAAGAGAAGCUCUAUUUUGAAAAGAAAAAAAAAAUCCAAGUAAAACCGACAAAAUUUUGAGGAAAGGUGCUGACCAACGCGUGGCGUUCACCAGCCUGAAAGGAGAGUCUCUGGUGGUGCAUGGCCUGGCUGUAAAGCUGAGAGAGGGAGUUAGCCGCACUACAGAAGGUAGAGUACAUGGUUCGAUCCACCUCAUCCAGCCUCGUCGCAUCGGAUUUUCUCUUCUUCGCCAUUAUUAUAAAUAAAUGGAGAUUGAAGAUCUUCUUUACCAAAUUUUAUCACAAAACCUAGAAUGGUUUGCCUGAAUAAAUAUGUCUCUCUCUAUAUAUAUCUGUGCAUUUUGGGUUUGGGGAAGUUCUCAACGAGAAUCGGAACAAGCUUUUAUAGAUAGAUAGAGAAAGAGGGAUGGUUGAGCUAGUGGGGAAAGGUACCAGUUGUGUUUUAGGAGAGAUGCUUGCGUACCGUAAUACGUGGUGAAACAGUUCCUUGACGACUCCUCGUUGGAUGGUCACGUCAUUCAGGACAGUGUAACUGUUCUACCCAAUUAUUUCUCGUGUUUUAGGACAGAGAAAUGCUACAGAAAUAGGUUGAAAAAUAGGGUUAAAAACAAGUUGUACACGUGUCGAUGUCUAAUUUAAGAGUUUGAAUUUUUUUUUAAAAAAUAAAAUCCAACAACAUACUGUCACACCAGCUUUUUUUCCCCCAAUUUUUGAGUCUGGCUAAUGAUCAUUUUUCUUUAGGGCAUGCCAAUUUGUUUAUAAUUCAUUUGACAAAUUUCAUUUGCUGCCAAAUCAAUUGACCUAGUUUCAACUAGGAUGAAAGUUUAGAGCCUAUUUAAGUCUCAUUUUAUUGUAAAAAUAUAUUUUAAAAUAGUAAAUUGAUGAAAAAUAUANNNNNNNNNNNNNNNNNNNNNNNNNNNNNNNNNNNNNNNNNNNNNNNNNNNNNNNNNNNNNNNNNNNNNNNNNNNNNNNNNNNNNNNNNNNNNNNNNNNNNNNNNNNNGAAACAAGAAGUAACGAAAUAAACAUUAUGAAAAUUCGUAUAUAAGAUGAUAAACAAAGAGCAGUUAAAUUACUGAUACACAGUACAAACCUAGUGAAAAGGAACCAGCAUACCAGUUAUUAUUAUUCUUUACAAAUUAUCAAAAUUCCUAAACGAAAUUAGACAAGGGCCAACAAAUUUAGGAGGAUUAAAACACAAAAAUGAAACUAUUUCACACACAUCAUCCGAAUAUAUCUACAGGUGAAAUAAAAAAUAAAUCAACACCCAACACCGUACAAAAAUGCGAACGAUUAAAAGAGAGCUGAAUUAAAGGAAACCCAUAAAGUAAAACCGGCAAAAAAAAAAAAAAAAUUGUGCGUCGAGUCGGCGCGGUGCUGAGCAGCAGACAAUUUAUCCUUACAAAUGAAAUUAAAGAUGAAUUCCCUCAAAAAAAAUUUACACACCCCAUUCAAGAGAAGCUCUAUUUUGAAAAGAAAAAAAAAAUCCAAGUAAAACCGACAAAAUUUUGAGGAAAGGUGCUGACCAACGCGUGGCGUUCACCAGCCUGAAAGGAGAGUCUCUGGUGGUGCAUGGCCUGGCUGUAAAGCUGAGAGAGGGAGUUAGCCGCACUACAGAAGGUAGAGUACAUGGUUCGAUCCACCUCAUCCAGCCUCGUCGCAUCGGAUUUUCUCUUCUUCGCCAUUAUUAUAAAUAAAUGGAGAUUGAAGAUCUUCUUUACCAAAUUUUAUCACAAAACCUAGAAUGGUUUGCCUGAAUAAAU
rnacentral:lncRNA from 1 species